AAUGGACGAAAGUCUGACGCAGCGACGCCGCGUGGGGGAUGAAGGUCUUCGGAUUGUAAACCCCUUUCGGGAGGGAAGAUGGAGUGGGUAACCACUUGGACGGUACCUCCAGAAGCAGCCACGGCUAACUUCGUGCCAGCAGCCGCGGUAAUACGGCGGGUGCAAGCGUUAAUCGGAAUCACUGGGCGUAAAGCGCACGUAGGCGGCACGUUAAGUCAGAUGUGCAACCCCUGGGCUCAACCUGGGAAUGGCAUUUGAUACUAGCGCGCUCGAGUCUGAUAGAGGGGGGUGGAAUUCCAGGUGUAGCGGUGAAAUGCGUAGAUAUCUGGAGGAACACCGGUGGCGAAGGCGGCCCCCUGGAUCAUGACUGACGCUGAGGUGCGAAAGCGUGGGUAGCAAA
rnacentral:rRNA from 1 species